AUGAAUUUGAGGUUUUUACUAAAAAGAGCCAAAACUAAUGCAGUUCCAUCUCUCCUUAAUGGGCAGAAGAGCUACACUGUUUCUGCUGCACCUAGAGAUAAAACUAUUGGUUUUGGAGUACCAUCACUGAGUCCAGGUCUCAUAACUUUUUUUUUUUUUUUUUCUGAGAUGGAGUUUCGCUCUUGUUACCCAGUCUGGAGUACAGUGGCGCGAUCUCGGCUCACUGCAACCUCCGCCUCCUGGGUUCAGGCAAUUCUCCCGCCUCAGCCUCCUGAGUAGCUGGGAUUACAGGCACACGCCACCAUGCCCAGCUAAUUUCUUGUAUUUUUAGUAGAGACAGGGUUUCACCAUGUUGACCAGGAUGGUCUCAAUCUCUUGACCUGGUGAUCCACCCCCCUCGGCCUCCCAAAGUGCUGGGAUUAAAGGCUUGAGCCACCACGCCUGGCCCAUAACUUAAAAAAAAAUUACUAAAUUAAGGGGAAUAGAAGCAGUGAAAGUCAGAGUAAAUAUGGGGUUCAAAGUUGCAAGCAAUUCACUUUCUCUAAACGUGACUGCUCAUUUGUUUUUGAAAAAGCUACCCAAACCAGCACUUUAAAUAUUAGAACACAGACUUCAAACAUGAACUUUUUUAUGGGAAGGUGGAGAGAGUAUUAUUAACCUGAAUGCAGAUAUUUUAGAAUGACACAUUUGGUGCUCUCUUUAGUAAUACAAAUUUUUUUAGGUAAGCUUGAGAAACAUAGCGAGACCUGGUCUCUACUAAAAAAAAAAAAAAAAAAGGAAGAAAAGAAAAAAUUAGCAGGGCAUGGUGGCAUGUACCCACGGUCCCAGCUACACAGGAGACAGGGAGGAAGAUCCCU
rnacentral:lncRNA from 13 species